GAUGAACGCUGGCGGCGUGCCUAAUACAUGCAAGUCGAACGCACAGCGAAAGGUGCUUGCACCUUUCAAGUGAGUGGCGAACGGGUGAGUAACACGUGGAUAACCUACCUCAAGGUUGGGGAUAACAUUUGGAAACAGAUGCUAAUACCGAAUAAAACUUAGUAUCGCAUGAUACCAGGUUAAAAGGCGCUACGGCGUCACCUAGAGAUGGAUCCGCGGUGCAUUAGUUAGUUGGUGGGUAAAGGCUUACCAAGACAAUGAUGCAUAGCCGAGUUGAGAGACUGAUCGGCCACAUUGGGACUGGGACACGGCCCAAUCUCCUACGGAGGCUGCAGUAGGGAAUCUUCCACAAUGGGCGAAAGCCUGAUGGAGCAACGCCGCGUGUGUGAUGAAGGCUUUCGGCGUAAAGCACUGUUGUAUGGGAAGAACAGCUAGAGUAGGGAAUGACUUUAGUUGACGGUACC
rnacentral:rRNA from 1 species